rnacentral:rRNA from 1 species
UACAGAGGUCUCAAGCGUUGUUCGGAUUCAUUGGGCGUAAAGGUGCGUAGGCGGCGCGGUAAGUCGGAUGUGAAAUCUCGGGGCUUAACUCCGAAACUGCAUUCGAUACUACCGUGCUUGAGGACUGGAGAGGAGACUGGAAUUUACGGUGUAGCGGUGAAAUGCGUAGAUAUCGUAAGGAAGACCAGUGGCGAAGGCGGGUCUCUGGACAGUUCCUGACGCUGAGGCACGAAGGCCAGGGGAGCAAACGGG